rnacentral:rRNA from 1 species
GGGGUGAGGACAGUGUCUGGUGGGUAGUUUGACUGGGGCGGUCUCCUCCCAAAGAGUAACGGAGGAGCACGAAGGUUAGCUAAUCACGGUCGGACAUCGUGAGGUUAGUGCAAAGGCAUAAGCUAGCUUGACUGCGAGAGUGACGGCUCGAGCAGGUACGAAAGUAGGUCUUAGUGAUCCGGUGGUUCUGAAUGGAAGGGCCAUCGCUCAACGGAUAAAAGGUACUCCGGGGAUAACAGGCUGAUACCGCCCAAGAGUUCAUAUCGACGGCGGUGUUUGGCACCUCGAUGUCGGCUCAUCACAUCCUGGGGCUGAAGUAGGUCCCAAGGGUAUGGCUGUUCGCCAUUUAAAGUGGUACGCGAGCUGGGUUUAGAACGUCGUGAGACAGUUCGGUCCCUAUCUGCCGUGGGCGUUGGAAGAUUGAGAGGGGUUGCUCCUAGUACGAGAGGACCGGAGUGAACGCACCACUGGUGUUCGGGUUGUCAUGCCAAUGGCAUUGCCCGGUAGCUAAGUGCGGAAAAGAUAAGCGCUGAAAGCAUCUAAGCGCGAAACUUGCCUCAAGAUGAGUCUUCCCUGGGCCUUCAAGGCCCCUGAAGGAACGUUUAAGACUAAGACGUUGAUAGGCUGGGUGUGUAAGUGCAGCGAUGCAUUGAGCUAACCAGUACUAAUGAUCCGUGAGGCUUAACCUU